rnacentral:rRNA from 1 species
CCUACGGGUGGCAGCAGUGAGGAAUAUUGGUCAAUGGGCGGAAGCCUGAACCAGCCAAGUAGCGUGCAGGAUGACGGCCCUAUGGGUUGUAAACCGCUUUUAUACGGGAAUAACGCGGGUUACGUGUGGCGGUUUGCAGGUACCGCAUGAAUAAAGACCGGCUAAUUCCGUGCCAGCAGCCGCGGUAAUACGGAAGGUCCGGGCGUUAUCCGGAUUUAUUUGGUUUAAAGGGAUCGUAGGCCGGAUUUUAAGCUUGCUGUGAAAUUUUCGGGCUCAACCCGGGCAGUGCGGCGCGAACUGGAGACCUUGAGUGCGCGGGAGGCAUGCGGAAUGCGUGGUGUAGCGGUGAAAUGCUUAGAUAUGACGAAGAACCCCGAUUGCGAAGGCAGCUUGCUGCAGCGUGACUGACGCUGAUGCUCGAAAGCGCGGGUAUCGAACAGGAUUAGAUACCCUGGUAGUC